UUCUGAGUUUAAAAAAUGCUUCUGUGUCCUAGUCCCAGAGCCUAUAAAGGUAAACCCACUGGGGCUGGCUGGGGGAGAAGAGGAAGGCUUGUUCCAGAAGGAACUGUCUGAGGGAA
rnacentral:snoRNA from 1 species